rnacentral:lncRNA from 1 species
AUGUCCAUAACAGUGCAUGAGAAACUGUUCUAAGUACUGGAAUUUUACUAGGGAGUCAGCAGUUCUGCUAAUCCUCAUGGAGCUUAGAAUUAGGAAGGCAGACAAUAAAAUGUAAUAAGUUCCUUAAUAGAAUACAAGUAGAUUACAAAGGGAAAGAGAAAAGAAGCUCAGAAGGAAUUCCAAUAUUCAGAUGUGACAUAUAGAAGAAAGUGUCGACAUGAAAGAAUUAUCCGCCAGAGAAUUCAGAGGAAAAUCAAGAAUGCAUUAUAUCAUGAAAGUAAAGAAAGGAUAAUGACCCAAAAAAGAGCUUGGGGCAAGAUGGCCGACUAGACACAGCAAGUGGAAUUACCGCCAGCAAGGGACUGAGACAACUGGCGCACUCCUAACAAAUCAUCCGAUGGAAGGCACCAGGAGUGGCCGAGGGAAGACACAGAAGGAAGCUGGGCUGAAACAGGAGGAACAUUGCACUGGGCUACCAUGCGCUGGGACUUGUUCCUGGCCCCCAAGGACUCUCAGGGAAUGGGUUUAAGGUGUACAUCUUCAGGUUCAACACAUGGACAAAUUUUGUGUUACUGAGGUUUGGCGUAUGAAUGAUCCCAUCACCCAGCUAGAAUUCAAGCCUUAGAUAUUUUGAGUUUUUAAAGAUCUAACGGUGGGAACCUAAGUCACACAACUACAAAAUUUAAAUACAAUGGGAAUAAUUGGAUGCUGAGGUGGUAGGCACCAAGUGACAGCACUCAACUAUCAACCUCAAGGUCAUCCUACAUUGGCCAAAGGAAUAAAGAAGAAUGACAGGGUUAAUGAUGGAUAUUUGAAUUAUUCUGAUUUUUCUGACGUGCAAGGUGUAGAUUCCUUUUGUUAGUCAUUCAAACCAACAGCAGCUUUAAGUAUGUAAUUUGUGAUAUCUAAUUAAUCAGUCAUUCAUAUCCAAGGUUAUAAAAACUCAUACUGUACAAUAGAGACUUGUAUCAUGUAUAAAAUAAGAAUGUAAUGUUCUUUUAGCACCACCCAAUUGGUGGGUCUGGAAAUAAUGACUUCUCUGACGAGUCCAAAUUAAAUUGGAACAAAGGUAAAAGUUCUCUCCAGGAGGCCAGACAAUGAAGAACAGGCAGUUUCUUACACAUCUCUACUUUAAUUAUAGCAAAUGGCCCAUCUGCUUCAAAACCAGAAGUAGGCAAUGACUUCUCACUCCUCUGCUUGAAUUUCUCGCCCUCCGCCUAUCUUCGUGAUACUAUAACACUGUCUAGGUAUUAUCGCAUUUAUAAUGAUGUAUUAUAAUUUAUUUGAUUAUUUAUUUAUUUAUUUAUUACCUCAAUUUGAUGAAUUAUUUAAGGGAAUAAAAUACACUCUACACUUGU